UGCAAGUCGAGCGGACGGAUGGGAGCUUGCUCCCUGAAGUCAGCGGCGGACGGGUGAGUAACACGUGGGCAACCUGCCUGUAAGACUGGGAUAACUUCGGGAAACCGGAGCUAAUACCGGAUAAUGCACAGCCUCUCAUGAGGCUAUGCUGAAAGAUGGUUUCGGCUAUCACUUACAGAUGGGCCCGCGGCGCAUUAGCUAGUUGGUGAGGUAACGGCUCACCAAGGCAACGAUGCGUAGCCGACCUGAGAGGGUGAUCGGCCACACUGGGACUGAGACACGGCCCAGACUCCUACGGGAGGCAGCAGUAGGGAAUCUUCCGCAAUGGACGAAAGUCUGACGGAGCAACGCCGCGUGAGUGAUGAAGGUUUUCGGAUCGUAAAACUCUGUUGUCAGGGAAGAACAAGUGCCGGAGUAACUGCCGGCACCUUGACGGUACCUGACCAGAAAGCCACGGCUAACUACGUGCCAGCAGCCGCGGUAAUACGUAGGUGGCAAGCGUUGUCCGGAAUUAUUGGGCGUAAAGCGCGCGCAGGCGGUCUCUUAAGUCUGAUGUGAAAGCCCACGGCUCAACCGUGGAGGGUCAUUGGAAA
rnacentral:rRNA from 1 species